UACAUGUGAGAUAACAGGAAAAACUACUUUGUCAUUAAUAAUGAGGCUUACAUAAUACGGAAGUACGCAUUAUAAAUAGCAUGCGCGCGAAUAGAACUUGCAAUAUGUGUUAACUCGUCGAAACGGCAAGACAAGUAGUGAAAAGAAUCACAAACCUAUACUAAAUUCUUAUAAAUGAAAAACAGUUUAACCGAAACAGUGUUUAGUGCAAUUUAAAAAAUUCAACAAGAAGAUUAUCAAUAUAAUAAGGAUAUUGCUAAGAAGAGAGAGAAUUUGAUUCUCUUAUUUCAGUCUCUUGCCAUUAGGAUCGUGAGGAAUAUAGAGAUUAUUAAACAGCACAAUGAAAAUAUUCCUUCAUGUCUUCUUGAUAAUUAUGCUGAUAACAUUCAGCCUAAUAUCACUUGGGAUGUCAAUAAGAGCCCGUCGAGAACCAACAACAUAUCUUCCGUUUACUACCAAAAUAUAUCUAACAGCUACAACACGUAGACCAACUUAUACUCCACUACCGCUAGUACCAACUUAUUUUACACCACCGCCUAUACCUGUAACACGUGCAACGGCUAAGUCUAAUAUUAUAGACACUCCACAAUUUGAAGAAGUGACUUGCCCACCAGGAAGACUAAAAGAUCCACGCGGAAUAUGUCGCAACAAACAAUAAUGUUGAAGAUACGCAGGGACUGUUAUAUAUAACUGCUCAGUUUUAUAGAGACAAUCUCAAGAACACUCCUUUAUCCAUAUUGAGGACACACCGUAACUUUCCUCCUCAAAUCACUAGAGGACAGUACGUUCGAGAAGUGUAACGUAACCUUUCAGUUGUUGUAGCGGUAUCAAAAUAAAAACGCAUACGCACAAUUUUUCUUCUAGAACCUCAACCACUCGUUAAUCCCAAAAUCGCAAUAUACAACAAUGGCCCUAAAUAUUUAAGACACAUCAUAAAAAUUAUCAAACCAUACAGCAGAUAUGAGGAGAUAAUUCAAGAGACAUAAAAUAACAUAUAUAGCAAUUUACAAAUGUAAAUAAACAUUAAUUAUCACUAAUAAAGUCAAUUGUUCUGAUGCCCCA